UAGUCAUAACCAGUGACAACACUCCUAAAUAUUGCUUUUUUUAUUUGUGUUAUAUAGUAAAUAGGGAGAUUGGUAUUAAGGUAGAAUGAAGGUGGCUAGCUCGAAUUACUAACCAAAGGGGACAAAUUUGAAUUAACAGAAUAAGGACUGUUAAAAUUGCUAAUGUAACAGAAAAAGGUAAUAUGGGAAAUGAACAUAGAAAUGAGAUAAGAAUUUUAGAUAACAUUGUAAAAUAAGAUAUGAGAAUACCCUAAGAAAAAUGAAUUAAGUUAUAA